GUCGUUGCUUACUCCAAUGAUGAAAGAGAUAAGUUCUAUUUUUAUAUUGUAGGUUAACCAGCUAUCAGAUAGCUUAGAUUGUUAAAUUGUUAUAAGUUUGCCUAGUCUCCAUGCUAACAUACCAUUAUCUGUAUCUAGGUCAAUGCUUACUCCAGUAAAAAAAUGUAUAAAAAGUAUGAUUGUUUAUGUGGAGAUUUUGUUGACAAGGUUCUAUGACUAUUAUGUGGGUUAACUAUACAUAAAGCUGUUUAACUAGAGCCUAUUAUGGUAAAAUUAACUACCUAGUAAAGUAAAAGUAAAUUUAAGUUUGAACAGGACAUUCUGUUUUCUUUCUAGAAUGUACCUGUGUCUCUAAGACCAUUUUACUUACCUUCUACCAGGCCCACUGAUUGAUUUUUCACUAAAUAUUCCCAGAUAAUGUCUCUGGCUAAAUAUGGCCUUGAAAUCUUCUAGCUGUAGCUGGUGGAAAAUAUACCUGUAAUAUCUGCUGCCCUGGUAGAGGAUACAUUUUGUUUCCCUUGAAUAGGUUUAUUGAACCAAAUAUCUUAUUGUAUAUUUGGGCAUUGUUGUGAUCUCCAAUAAAAACACAUUGCAGUCUGUAAAAGAGUAUGUAAAAAUAGAACUUUUAAAGGUAGGGUUCCAUUGUUAUUACGUGGGUUUGCAAUACAACUAGUAAGUAUAAACUGUGAUUGAUAAAUGGAGGGGCUACCUACUAAACAAUGUGGAAAGUUUGCAAAAAAAAUUGUUGCUGUAAAUUGAUUUUCACAAAUUUGCACUGUGAAGUUCAUUCUUUUGGAAGAGAGUUUGUGUCAGACCAAAAAAUGUUGCUCAGGGUCAGCCAGCAAAGAAAUACUUCUACUAUUAGCGGUUAAUCAACGUGUUUAUCAGCUUUGUCUCAACAACAUUAUUCAUUAUUUAGCAAAGAAACCAGUCUGUCAAAUACUGAAAUAUACCCAAGAGACCUACCUGUGGUUGACCAAUUUUUUCACUUCUUGGACUAAUAGGUUAUAACCUCAGUGCUGGUAAUCCUUUUUAGCAGACGAGGGCUUAUCAAGGUGACAUCAAGAUUAUUUAUUCUACAAAGAAUUUUCAAAAUUUUCUCAAGGUUGAAUGAAUUAAAUAAAACAAAGUUAUGGUGAAUGCAAAAUAAUGAUGUAGCUUGCAAUUGAAUUCUUCUUUAUUUGUUGUUUUUGAAACUUCUCAUGUCUUGCAUCUGUGCACAACAAAAACAUGCUGAUAAUCCCUAAAAAGGUGUCACAAAAGACAUUAAGGAGACAUCCUAGAAGUUUGAGAUAAAAGUCUUUCAUAGCUACAUGGAUUCUACAUGCAUUUCAACAUAACAUCUUAAUAUCUCAAUAUUUUUUUAGAAACUUUGAUUUUUUUAUCCCUGAUGCUCCAGAGUUAAUUGCCAAUUUCUUGGAGGGUGAACAAGAUGCAUCCUGCAAGAGAAAAUGCCUUUAUGAUACUGAUACAUGUUGACUAGGAGCGUGCUUUGACCUACCUUGUAAGCUGCAUAGACCAAGUGACAUCAAUCGGAGACAUUCUCCAGUUGGUUUUAGUGGAACUUAUCUACAAGGUGUGCCAUGCCAAUCCAUCUGAGGGAUCCUGCUUUAUUCGCUGUAUUUACAAUCUACUGAAUUCCUCCAGUCCAGCUGUGAGAUAUGAGGC
rnacentral:lncRNA from 1 species